rnacentral:rRNA from 1 species
CUACGUGCCAGCAGCCGCGGUAAUACGGAGGGUGCGAGCGUUAAUCGGAAUAACUGGGCGUAAAGGGCACGCAGGCGGUGACUUAAGUGAGGUGUGAAAGCCCCGGGCUUAACCUGGGAAUUGCAUUUCAUACUGGGUCGCUAGAGUACUUUAGGGAGGGGUAGAAUUCCACGUGUAGCAGUGAAAUGCGUAGAGAUGUGGAGGAAUACCGAUGGCGAAGGCAGCCCCCUGGGAUAACACUGACGUUCAUGCUCGAAAGCGUGGGUAGCAAACAGGAUUAGAUACCCUGGUAGUCCACGCCCUAAACGAUGUCAAUUAGCUGUUGGGCARCUUGAYUGCUUAGUAGCGUAGCUAACGCGUGAAAUUGACCGCCUGGGGAGUACGGUCGCAAGAUUAAAACUCAAAGGAAUUGACGGGGACCCGCACAAGCGGUGGAUGAUGUGGAUUAAUUCGAUGCAACGCGAAGAACCUUACCUGGUCUUGACAU